AGGGCUGGAAAGAUGGCUCAGAG
rnacentral:piRNA from 1 species